rnacentral:lncRNA from 1 species
UUUCUUUUUUAUUCAAUGAAUUUUACUAUAUUUACAGUUGUACAAAGAUCAUCACAACCCAGUUUUAUAGCAUUUCCAUCCCAAACCCCCAGCACCCCCCUAACCUGUCACUUUUGGAAACUAAGUUUUUCAAAGUCUGUGAGUCAGUAUCUGUUCUGCAAAGAAAUUCAUUGUGUCCUUUUUUUAGAUUCCACAUAUAAGUGAUAGCAUAUGACACUGAUGUCUCACCGUCUGACUGAAGUAGAACAGGCGGCUUCACUUAGCAUGAUAAUUUCUAGGUCUAUCUAUAUUGCUGCAAAUGCUAUUAUUUCUUUCCUUUUAAUGGCUGAGUAAUAUUCCAUUGUGCAUAUGUACCACAUCUUCUUUAUCCACUCCUCUGUUAAUGGACAUUUAGGUUGCUUCUCUGUCUUGGAUAUUAUAUACAGUGCCGCAGUGAAUAUGGAGUGCAUGUAUCUUUUUGAGUCCUGGUUUUCUCUGGAUAGAUGCCCAAGAGUGGGAUUGCUGGAUCAAAUGGUAAUUCUAUUUUUAGUUUUCUAAGGAAUCUCCAUACUGUUUGCCAUAGUGGUUGUAUCAAUUUACAUUCCCACCAACAGUGUAAGAGGGUUCUCUUUUCUCCAUACCCUCUCUAGCAUUUAUUAUUUGUAGACUUUUUGAUGUGGCCAUUCUGGCUGGUGUAAGGUGGUACCUCAUAGUAGUUUUGAUUUGUAUUUCUCUAAUAAUUAGUGAUGUUGAACAUCUUUUCAUGUGUUUUUUUAGGCCAUCUAUAUGUUUUCUUUGGAGAAUUGUCCGUUUAGAUCUUCUGCCCAUUUUUUGAUAGGGUUGUUUGUUUUGUUUGUAUUGAGCUGCAGGAGGUGUUUAUAAAUUUUGGAUUAAAAGCCUUGGCUUGAAGUGACACAGAUCACUGGUCCUAACAUCCCUCGGGGAUAACCACACCCACAUCAAGGGAGGCCAGGAAAUGUGGUCCUGCCCAGGGUACAGCUUUGUAGUGCAGAAGAGCAAGCUUCAUGAUCAGAGAUUGAGAAACAAUUCUAUACUUAGAUCAGGUACCCUCCAGAUUAGAUUGUGUGUGUGUGUGUAAUGUAAACUGCUAUUGAUUGGUGUAUAGAAGAGACAAUUUCUUUCUUUUUUUUUUUUUUUUUUGGUCUUUUUGCCAUUUCUUGGGCCACUCCUGUGGCAUAUGGAGGUUCCCAGGCUAGGGGUCGAAUCGGAGCUGUAGCCUCNNNNNNNNNNNNNNNNNNNNNNNNNNNNNNNNNNNNNNNNAUCGUUAACCCACUGAGCAAGGGCAGGGACCGAACCCGCGACCUCAUGGUUCCUAGUCGGAUUCGUUAACCACUGCGCCACGACGGGAACUCCAGACAAUUUCUUUUUAAAACUUUGAUUUAUAUUUAAUAUUUUAGAAUUUGUUAGCUAUGUCAGGCCUCUGUCUCAUUUUACUCUUUAAAAAUGUUAAAACCAUUCUUAGCCUGAGGGUCAUACAAAAACAGGUCAACUUUUUUAAUUGGUGAGGUGAAACAAGUAACUGUUAAAAUUCCCUCCUAAAAGUAACAACUGUGUUAAUUAAUUUUAAAUGUGAUCCAUGCUAAAUAAACUAAGUUAAAAUAUAAUGAAGUAAUAGACUAGGGGUUUUGAAUCAUUUUUCUUCAGAUGAAUUAUCAUUGAGGUAAAAAUGGCCUUCACAGACUAAAUAAAAAGCAUUGUAGCCCUAUAGCUAAGCCUUGUCAGUGUUUCAAGUCUUACAAACAAAAAAUUCACAUCUGGUUUAGAAGAGUUUGAAUCUUGAUAUGUGACCAUAGCAGUUGUAAUUUUAACAAAACCAUGUCCCAUACUUAGGGAACUUGUUAGCUGCUAGUCCCUAAAUAACUGCCCCCAAGAGUCACUCCUUGUUUUUCAUGUUAAUUCUACAGGCCACCAAAUAUGUAACCUAAAUGUAUGUGCAAAAUUUAUACCUAAAUUUAGAAAUUUACCCUAAAGCUUUAUAUUACUAAAAGUGAUUGGGUUGUAUUUCAUUUGUGUGUUGAUUACCACUGGAAAUGGGUUAUAAUCAUCUAAAAAUUCCUUAGAAAGGUGUCAGAGCGUCUCAGUAUAACAAACUAUAAUGCUUUUUAUCAAAACAUCAAUAUAUUUUGUUAAGUUCUUCUAGAAAUCAUAAAAUAUUUAAAAAAUAGAGACCUGUUGGUCUGGCGAAGGUUUAACAGUCAACUGUUUUAAGAUACUUGUUCUUUUAAUCCCAAAUAUGAUUUAGGUUACAUUUUCUGAUAUUCUUAACUGGCUUUUAAAAAUUGGGUUAUAAAGCAUAAAUAUAUUUAUAUAGGGACUAUUUAACAAUUAAAGUUUCUCUACAUAAUUAUCACCACCAGUUGAGACUAUACCAGCAUCUAGAUGAAAAUCCUUGUUUUUUUUCUUACAAAGCCAAAAUCUGUGACCUCUAUGGCUAAUACAUAAUUAAUAUUUUCUCAGACUAUUGUACUCGAGAGAUAAAACUGCAAAUUAUAAUUAGAAUAAAAACUAGACACCGAAACCUUUAACAGAAGCUGUAUAGUAUUGCAGGUCAGAUACACACUACUUGAGAUAAAUUUUUUUCCCUGGUUGACCUUAUUAAUUUUAAUACUUCUAAUGUAUUUUCUUAUAUUGAUGCUGGCUUAGUCUUUCACUCCCACUAUUGCAUCUGUUGUAUCCAGAGGAUAUCGCCCAGACUCCAAGCAGAUCUGACUCUCCAGUGUUUUAUGAAGGCAGUGGGUGACGCUGUCUGAGCUUGAUCAAAAUAAAUACUGUUCCAUCCAGGGAUUCCCGAACUUAAUACUGCUGCAGAUGUUAAAAUGCUUACACUGUGUUUAAAACCUUAUUAGUAAGCCUUUUCAACUUUCAAUUCAUAAGCCCACUUGGGUGGAUUCUCCAAAAUCUUACUUAGUGGCAGUGUAGUAAUGUUAAUCAGCAUAUAUUGUAAGACUUCUCAAGACCAAAGAAAAAAAUGAAUUGCUUAACAUGAUAAUUCCUCUUGGUUCACACACACACACACACACACACACACACACCCUUAAAUAAUAGUUUUUUUAUUUUAAUCCAACAAAUAGGAGUUCCCUGGUGAUCUAGAGGUUAAAGAUCCAUCAUUGUCACUGCUGUGGUGUGGGUUUGAUCUCCAGCCUGGGAACUUCGGCAUGCUGCAGGAAUGGUGUUGCUGUGAGCUAUGCUGUAGGUUGCAGAUGCAGCUUGGAUCCCGUGUUGCUGUGGCUGUGGUGUAGGUCAGCAGCUACAGCUCCAAUUUGACCCCUAGUCUGGGAACCUCCAUAUGCUGUGGGUGCCACCCUAAAAAGACCAAAAAAAGAAGGAAAGAUAAAAGGACAAAUACUGUAUGAUUCCACUUUUAUGAAGUAAACCAAGGUAGUCACAGUCAUAGAGACAGAAAAAAUGGUGGUUGUCAAGGGUGGGAUGGAGGGGUGUGUGGGAAGUUAGGUAUCAGAGAAGAUGGAAAGAGUUCUGUGGAUGGAUGCUGGUGAUGCUUGCACAGCAAUGUGAAUGUACUUCGUGCCUCUGAACUGGACACAUAAAAAUGGUUAAGGUAGUAAAUUUUAUAUGUGUUUUAUCAAAAUUUAAAAAAUUAAACUCUUCAGAUAGUUUCAUUUCUUCAUAGCUCUCUACUCAAAGUUAAACACACACAGAGAACAAAUGAAUGAACAGUCUUUUUCUCUUCCUUACCUAGUACUGUUGUCAGUUUAAAAAACAAAAGCAGUACUAAUUACGUACUCACAGCCAACCCUUCUGGAUUAAGGCAUAUUUCUUAUCAGUGUUCUAGCCCACACUGCCCAGCUGGGAACCAGCCUCAAUUGUGUUAUCUAAAAAUAUUCUUUUAAAGUUGGUCGCUUUGAAGUUCCCGUCAUGACUCAGCAGUUAAUGAAUCUGACUAGUAUCCAUGAGGACACAGGUUCAAUCUCUGGCCUCACUCAGUAGGUUAAGGAUCUGGCCUUGUUGUGAGCUGUGGUAUAGGUCGCAGACACAGCUCGGAUCUGACGUUGCUGUGGUGUAGGCCAGCCACUGUAGCUCCGAUUUGACCCCUAGCCUGGGAACCUCCAUAAGCUGCAGGUACGGCCCUGAAAAACAAAAACAACAGCAAAAAAAAUUUGGUCACUUCCACAGCACAGUGUGACCAUUGUCAGGUAAAAAGUCCUGGUGUUGUCCUCCACAAUGAUAUCCAUAUUGUCAGAUUUGAAAAAAAGGGCCCAAGUGUUAUUAAAUCUGAAAUGACUUCAGUCGAGGAUGGGUGGUAUUUUAAAUCAGAAGAGAGCUCUUCCAAAUUCUCUUUACUGUAGCCUGGCCUACGGUGAUGAGACAUUGCCUAUAAGGAGGGCAGGGAAGCCCUGCCUACAAGAGCAUGCCCUCUGAAGCCUGAGGGUCCUGACCAGCUAUUAACUUGUACAAUUAUUUAACCUCUCUGUUUUUGGGGCUCCUCAUAGGUAAAAUAGUGCUUAUUUGGGGUAGAAAGAUCAGGGGCAGCUUUGUAGAGGAGGAUAUUACUAUCUUAUAGGAUUGUUUGGAAAAUUAAGAGUUAAUGCAUGUGAAAGUCUAAGAAUAACGAUACACAGUAAGUACUUACUAAAUGUUAGAUGUCAAUUAAUAGCUUUUUCUAACUGGCCCAUAAUAUUGAAAAUUGUACCUGGCAUUGAUAAGGUUUUACCUGGCCACAUUUUCCUCUUAUUUAACUCUUAUCCUCUUUCUACACAUAGAAAUAUACCUUGCCUACUUGUUCAAAGUAAAUUUUCCAAGUAAAGAUACAAUAUUGUUAAAGCAGUUAUAAAUAAAUAUGUAUCUAUUAAAUGAUUGUUUUCAUUGUAAGUGAAACCAGGGAGAAAACUGUAGUCAUUUUGUAAUUUAUUUACAUAUUGAUAAAUGUAUAAAAAGUAGAUUAUCCAUAUCCAAUAGUAGAUUAGGCAGGCAUGUCUUUUGAAAUACAGUCUUAUCGGAAAGUCAAAAUGUAUUAACCACACUAAAAAAAUCUCAAAUUUUUUUUUUUUUUGGUCAUUUUGCCAUUUCUUGGGCCGCUCCUGCAGCAUAUGGAGGUUCCCAGGCUAGGGGUUUAAUCGGAGCUGUAGCCACCGGCCUAUGCCAGAGCCACAGCAAUGGGGGAUCUGAGCCAUGUCUGCGACCCACACCACAGCUCACGGCAAUGCCAGAUCCUUAACCCACUGAGCGAGGCCAGGGAUCGAACCUGCAACCUCAUCGUUCCUAGUCAGAUUCGUUAACCACUGCGCCACGACGGGAACUCCAAAUCUCAAAUGUUUAUAUGAAUUUUUUAAAGAUAAAUGUGAUUAUGAAAUAUUAUCAUGCAUGUAUAAACUGUUCACAGAUAAAGAGCUCACCACCCUUUAGUUGAUAAGAAAAAUACUGAGUAUAAAUGGUUUAACUAUGAAGCAGUUCUUUAAAAUUUCCUUAGCAGUGAAAGAUGUUAACCAGCCAUCUUACACCCUUUCCAAAUAGCAGUGACAGAUAUCUUAGUUCUCAGAACCUACCACCAGAUCAGAGACCUUCAUCGGUCCCUCUUUGUUCAUACAAUACACUCCAAACUUCACACUUUUGGGUUAUUACUAUUAAUUCUUGAGGUUGCUGCAGGUUGAUCCCAGAGCUGAUAAACUCUUGAAAGACUCUGUUAGAGUAGGCUAAUUCAUUGUUGAGCAUAGAAAUUACUGAUUUCACUGGAAUACGUAUCUGUGGUCUGUUUUUGGUAAUUUUGCCAGUAAUGGUGUUUAUUGAGAUAACUUCUCUCUCCUUAGGAUGGUUUCCUGCUGCUUCCACCUGUUGGUUGGAAGACUUGUCUCCCACCUGGCCUCUAUGGCUCAGUUCCCUGCCCUCAGCUUUAGUUAGCUCUUGCCUCUGUUAUAAAACCAAGUAUGGGAGUUCCUGUUGUGGCUCAUUGGAAACAAAUCUGACCAGUAAGUAUCCAUGGGGACGCAGGUUUGAUCCCUGGCCUUGCUCAGUGGGUUAAGGAUCUGAUGUUGCUGCGAGUUGUGGUGUAGGUUGCAGACACGACUUGGAUCUGGCUUUGCUGGGGCUGUGGGUAUAGGCCAGCGGCUACAGCUCCAAUUCUACCCCUAACCUAGGAACUUCCAUAUGCUGUGGGUGCGGCCUAAAAAGCAAAAAAAAAAAAAAAAAAA